rnacentral:rRNA from 1 species
UACAGAGGUCUCAAGCGUUGUUCGGAUUCAUUGGGCGGAAAGGGUGCGUAGGUGGCGGGGUAAGUCAGGUGUGAAAUCUCGGGGCUCAACCCCGAAACUGCACUUGAUACUGCCUUGCUCGAGUACUGGAGAGGAGAUUGGAAUUUACGGUGUAGCAGUGAAAUGCGUAGAUAUCGUAAGGAAGACCAGUGGCGAAGGCGAAUCUCUGGACAGUUACUGACACUGAGGCACGAAGGCCAGGGGAGCAAACGGG